rnacentral:ncRNA from 1 species
AUUAUAUCUUGGCAAAAUAAAGGAAACUUUAUGACGCAAAGCUAUAGGGCCUUUAAUAUGGUAGCCAGCUGCAAAA